rnacentral:rRNA from 1 species
CCCUUAGAUGUUCUGGGCCGCACGCGCGUUACACUGAUGCAUUCAACGAGUUCUUCCUUGGCCGAGAGGCCUGGGCAAUCUUUUGAACGUGCAUCGUGAUAGGGAUAGAUUAUUGCAAUUAUUAAUCUUGAACGAGGAAUUCCUAGUAAACGCAGUUCAUCAAACUGCAUUGAUUACGUCCCUGCCCUUUGUACACACCGCCCGUCGCACCUACCGAUUGAAUGGUCCGGUGAAAUCUCGGGACGGCGGCUUGGUCGCUUGCGUCCGACUGCUGAAACUUGAUUAAACCAUAUCAUUUAGAGGAAGGUGAAGUCGUANCA